rnacentral:rRNA from 1 species
CUACGGGUGGCUGCAGUGAGGAAUAUUGCACAAUGGAGGAAACUCUGAUGCAGCAACGCCGCGUGGAGGAUGACGCAUUUCGGUGUGUAAACUCCUUUUAUAUGUCAAGAAAAUGACGGUAGCAUAUGAAUAAGCUCCGGCUAACUCCGCGCCAGCAGCCGCGGUAAUACGGAGGGAGCAAGCGUUACUCGGAAUCACUGGGCGUAAAGGACGCGUAGGCGGGAUAGAAAGUCAGGUGUGAAAUCCUAGGGCUCAACCAUAGAACUGCACUUGAAACUUCUAACCUAGAGUAUGGGAGGGGAAGAUGGAAUUAGUGGUGUAGGGGUAAAAUCCGUAGAUAUCACUAGGAAUACCAAAAGCGAAGGCGAUCUUCUGGAACAAUACUGACGCUAAGGCGUGAAAGCGUGGGGAGCAAACAGGAUUAGAUACCCUAGUAGUC